rnacentral:rRNA from 1 species
GAUGAACGCUGGCGGCGUGCCUAAUACAUGCAAGUCGAGCGAACGGACGAGAAGCUUGCUUCUCUGAUGUUAGCGGCGGACGGGUGAGUAACACGUGGAUAACCUACCUAUAAGACUGGGAUAACUUCGGGAAACCGGAGCUAAUACCGGAUAAUAUUUUGAACCGCAUGGUUCAAAAGUGAAAGACGGUCUUGCUGUCACUUAUAGAUGGAUCCGCGCUGCAUUAGCUAGUUGGUAAGGUAACGGCUUACCAAGGCAACGAUGCAUAGCCGACCUGAGAGGGUGAUCGGCCACACUGGAACUGAGACACGGUCCAGACUCCUACGGGAGGCAGCAGUAGGGAAUCUUCCGCAAUGGGCGAAAGCCUGACGGAGCAACGCCGCGUGAGUGAUGAAGGUCUUCGGAUCGUAAAACUCUGUUAUUAGGGAAGGACAUAUGUGUAAGUAACUGUGCACAUCUUGACGGUACCUAAUCAGAAAGCCACGGCUAACUACGUG